AGAGUUUGAUCCUGGCUCAGAGCGAACGUUAGCGGCGGGCCUAACACAUGCAAGUCGAACGAGAACGCUCCUUCGGGAGUUAUUAAAGUGGCGCACGGGUGAGGAACGCGUAGGUAAUCUACCCUUUGGCGGGGGACAACAUUCCGAAAGGAAUGCUAAUACCGCGUAAGACCACGCUCACUACGGUGAAAGCGGUUAAAGGUGCCUCAAAGCACCACCAGAGGAUGAGCCUGCGUCCCAUCAGCUUGUUGGUAAGGUAAUGGCUUACCAAGGCGAAGACGGGUAGCUGGUCUGAGAGGAUGAUCAGCCACACUGGCACUGGAACACGGGCCAGACUCCUACGGGAGGCAGCAGUGAGGAAUAUUGGGCAAUGGGCGAAAGCCUGACCCAGCCACGCCGCGUGUGUGAUGAAGGCCUUCGGGUCGUAAAGCACUGUGGGGAGAGACGAACAUGCGCAGGAGGAAAUGCCUGCGUACUGACGGUACCUCCUUAGCAAGCACCGCUAACU
rnacentral:rRNA from 1 species